rnacentral:siRNA from 1 species
AUACAUCAACUUCGUAUGCGGCCG